rnacentral:ncRNA from 1 species
ACUCCUCGGGGGAGUCCCGACAGCGCGGCGUCCGGUCACGGUCGCCAGCCUCGUCGCGCUGGGCCAAUGGCGAGACCGGCCUCGGCGGGG